UUCUACAAUCUUUGACAAUAUAGAUUGGGACAAUCUAGUUUUCACAUGCAUUCGGUUGUAAUAUACCAUUUGCUGAUACAUAUUUUCCACCCUCCCUCCCCCCACCCGUUUCAAUGUUGGCGCCGCGCAUCCAGACAUCAGAUUUUUGUUGGCCCAACAUUGAACUGGGGGAACGGGGGGGCGCUAUUCCUUUCAAAAUAUAUGAAAUUACAGCAGCUGUCCCAUAGUUUCUGGCAAAGAUUGAAUCUUUGACAAUAUAGAUUGGGACAAUCUAGUUUUCACAUGCAUUCGGUUGUAAUAUACCAUUUGCU